rnacentral:rRNA from 1 species
GCAGAGAUCCCCCCUCGUACCUUUUGCAUCAUGAUUUAGCCAGUACCCCUCAAGCAAAGAGCAUUUUAGUUUGAUCCCCCGAAACUACGUGAGCUACUCCAAGACAGCCUAUCAUAGGGCAAAUCCGUCUCUGUGGCAAAAGAGUGGAAAGAGCUUUGAGUAGAGGUGACAAACCUACCGAACCUAGUUAUAGCUGGUUGCCUGAGAAUUGGAUAUGAGUUCAGCCUCUAGGCUUCUUUCCAAACCAAGAGAGUUAAUCAAAGGGGGUACAGCCCCUUUGAUAUAAGACACAACUUUUACAGGAGGGUAAAGAUCAUAAUCACCAAGGACAUAUGCCCUAGUGGGCCUAAAAGCAGCCACCUAUAUAGAAAGCGUUAAAGCUCAAGCAUUAUAUUCAGAUAAAACCUCCCAACCCCCUAACACUACCAGGCCUUCUCAUGCAAACAUGAGAGUGCCCAUGCUAAUAUGAGUAAUAAGAAGGGGCUUUCUCCUGACACAUGUGUAAAUCAGAACGAACCCCCACUGAAACUUACCGGCCCCAAACAAAGAGGGCAAUGGACAAGAGCCAGAAAAACGUCCACCGUUAACCCUACACCGGUGUGCCCCCCAGGAAAGACUAAAAGAAAGAGAAGGAACUCGGCAAACCAGCCUCGCCUGUUUACCAAAAACAUCGCCUCUUGCGAAUAUAAGAGGUCCCGCCUGCCCUGUGACUAUAUGUUUAACGGCCGCGGUAUUUUAACCGUGCGAAGGUAGCGCAAUCACUUGUCUUUUAAAUGAAGACCUGUAUGAAUGGCACGACGAGGGCUUAACUGUCUCCUCCCUCAAGUCAAUGAAAUUGAUCUCCCCGUGCAGAAGCGAGGAUGAGCCCAUAAGACGAGAAGACCCUAUGGAGCUUUAGACAUAUGGUAUAUCCCGUUAAAUACCCCCGGAUAAAGGACUUAACUAAAGGAACCAUACCCCCCUGUCUUUGGUUGGGGCGACCACGGGGAAACAAAGAACCCCCAUGUGGAAGGGGAGCACUCCUACAACCAAGAGCCGCAACUCUAGUGAACAGAACUUCUGACCAAAUAUGAUCCGGCAGUGCCGAUCAAUGGACCGAGUUACCCUAGGGAUAACAGCGCAAUCCUCUUUUAGAGCCCAUAUCGACAAGAGGGUUUACGACCUCGAUGUUGGAUCAGGACAUCCUAAUGGUGCAA